AAAGACAGUAUGCAGAGAUGAGUUCUAGUAGUGGGGUGCUUGGACAGGACAUUGUGUCCUUUGGAAACCAAAGCGAGCUUGCACCACAGCGAGCUGUAUUUGGAUGUGAAAAUAGGGAAACUGGUGAUCUUUACAGCCAGCAUGCUGAUGGUAUAAUGGGCUUGGGUCGUGGGGAUCUCAGUAUAGUGGAUCAGCUUGUUGAGAAACAUGUAAUUAGUGAUUCCUUCUCCUUGUGUUAUGGAGGGAUG
rnacentral:misc_RNA from 1 species